CCUACGGGUGGCUGCAGUGAGGAAUAUUGGUCAAUGGACGAGAGUCUGAACCAGCCAAGUAGCGUGAAGGAUGACUGCCCUAUGGGUUGUAAACUUCUUUUAUAUGGGAAUAAAACGUUCCACGUGUGGGAUUUUGUAUGUACCAUAUGAAUAAGGACCGGCUAACUCCGUGCCAGCAGCCGCGGUAAUACGGAGGAUCCGAGCGUUAUCCGGAUUUAUUGGGUUUAAAGGGAGCGUAGGUGGAUUGUUAAGUCAGUUGUGAAAGUUUGCGGCUCAACCGUAAAAUUGCAGUUGAAACUGGCAGUCUUGAGUACAGUAGAGGUAGGCGGAAUUCGUGGUGUAGCGGUGAAAUGCUGAGAUAUCACGAAGAACUCCGAUUGCGAAGGCAGUUCACUGGACUGCAACUGACACUGAGGCUCGAAAGUGUGGGUAUCAAACAGGAUUAGAUACCCUAGUAGUC
rnacentral:rRNA from 1 species